AGUGAACGCUGGCGGUAGGCCUAACACAUGCAAGUCGAACGGCAGCACAGUAAGAGCUUGCUCUUACGGGUGGCGAGUGGCGGACGGGUGAGGAAUACAUCGGAAUCUACUUUUUCGUGGGGGAUAACGUAGGGAAACUUACGCUAAUACCGCAUACGACCUACGGGUGAAAGCAGGGGAUCUUCGGAUCUUGCGCGAUUGAAUGAGCCGAUGUCGGAUUAGUUAGUUGGCGGGGUAAAGGCCCACCAAGGCGACGAUCCGUAGCUGGUCUGAGAGGAUGAUCAGCCACACUGGAGCUGAGACACGGUCCAGACUCCUACGGGAGGCAGCAGUGGGGAAUAUUGGACAAUGGGCGCAAGCCUGAUCCAGCCAUACCGCGUGGGUGAAGAAGGCCUUCGGGUUGUAAAGCCCUUUUGUUGGGAAAGAAAAGCAGCAGGUUAAUACCCCGCUGUUCUGACGGUACCCAAAGAAUAAGCACCGGCUAACUUCGU
rnacentral:rRNA from 1 species